GAUGAACGCUGGCGGCGUGCCUAAUACAUGCAAGUCGAGCGAACGGACGAGAAGCUUGCUUCUCUGAUGUUAGCGGCGGACGGGUGAGUAACACGUGGAUAACCUACCUAUAAGACUGGGAUAACUUCGGGAAACCGUAGCUAAUACCGGAUAAUAUUUUGAACCGCAUGGUUCAAAAGUGAAAGACGGUCUUGCUGUCACUUAUAUAUGGAUCCGCGCUGCAUUAGCUAGUUGGUAAGGUAACGGCUUACCAAGGCAACGAUGCAUAGCCGACCUGAGAGGGUGAUCGGCCACACUGGAACUGACACUCGGUGCAGACUCCUACUGUAGGCAGCAGUAGGGAAUCUUCCGCAAUGGGCGAAAGCAUGACGGAGCAACGCAGCAUGAGUGAUGAAGGUCUUCGGAUCGUAAAACUCUGUUAUUAGGGAAGAACAUAUGUGUAAGUAACUGUGCACAUCUUGACGGUACCUAAUCAGAAAGCCACGGCUAACUACGUG
rnacentral:rRNA from 1 species